GGUUUUUUGGUUUUCUUCAUUGCAAUCUUCCUAAAUUGCACAUUUCAUAAGACCGUCAGGAAAAAGUCAGGAAAUGAGGUUUCCAGGAAGAGGGAGGCGGAGAAUACAGGGCCGGGUGGGAAGCCGGAGAAUAGGAGAGCAGUCUUUCAUUAUCACGACCUGUUCCACGCACACCCUCUCCCGGUGCCAUCCUCGCGCUGGAUGCGAGCCAUCCUCUGGGCUAAUGAGCUAGGCGCGGGAGAUAACUAAUCCUAAUGCAAUUACCGCUCGGUGCAGCACUGAUAGGUCCACUGUGCUCCCCGCGUGCCCAGCAGCCUGAGCCAGGCUGGAGCAGCUGGGCCUCAGCCUCCUGUCGGAGACGUUUUGACAGCUGUAUACAGUCCCGGGCCCCCUCCCACGGCCCGCGUCCCGGGAGAGUGAUCUUUUCACAGCGAGUCCCCAUGAAGCCUGUCGGAGCUGAACACGGCAUCCAUGUCUACAUCCUCUGGACGUUGGGAAAGUAGAAGAACUCACAACCAUUUCUUGGACUCCACCAGUACCACGGGCUCCAGAACUGCUACCUGGGCAGGUGAAGCUAACAUCUCCUGGGAGUCACUGGGAAAUCAUGGAAGCCAAGGUUAUACAUUGAGACUAUGGGAAGAUUGGAAGAAAGUCUCAGCUUCAACUUUUUUUUUUUAAGGAGAAUCUGUGUGUGUGUGUGUGUGUGUG
rnacentral:lncRNA from 1 species